rnacentral:rRNA from 1 species
AGACUGCGUUUGAAACUGGUUAUCUUGAGUGUAACAGAGGAGAGUGGAAUUCCUAAUGUAGUGGUGAAAUACGUAGAUAUUAGGAAGAACACCAGUGGCGAUGGCGACUCUCUGGGUUAACACUGACGCUGAGGUACGAAAGCUGGGGGAGCGAACGGGAUUAGAUACCCCGGUAGUCCCAGCCGUAAACGAUGGAUACUAGGUGUUGGAGGUUCGAAUCCUUCAGUGCCGGAGUUAACGCAUUAAGUAUCCCGCCUGGGGAUUACGAUCGCAAGAUUGAAACUCAAAGGAAUUGACGGGGGCCCGCACAAGCGGUGGAGCAUGUGGUUUAAUUCGAAGCAACGCGAAGAACCUUACCGAGAAUUGACAUCCCGUGACCAUCUAUGAGAGUAGA